rnacentral:rRNA from 1 species
CCUACGGGAGGCAGCAGUGGGGAAUAUUGGGCAAUGGGCGCAAGCCUGACCCAGCAACGCCGCGUGAAGGAAGAAGGCUUUCGGGUUGUAAACUUCUUUUCUGAGGGACGAAGAAAGUGACGGUACCUCAGGAAUAAGCCACGGCUAACUACGUGCCAGCAGCCGCGGUAAUACGGAGGUGGCAAGCGUUAUCCGGAUUUAUUGGGUGUAAGGGGCGUGUAGGCGGGAAAGUAAGUCAGAUGUGAAAUCUCAGGGCUCAACGCUGGGCCUGCAUUUGAAACUGUUUUUCUUGAGUGCUGGAGAGGCAAGCGGAAUGCCGGGUGUAGCGGUGAAAUGCGUAGAUAUACGGAGGAACACCAGUGGCGAAGGCGGAUUGCUGGACAGUAACUGACGCUGAGGCGCGAAAGCGUGGGGAGCAAACAGGAUUAGAUACCCGAGUAGUC